GUCCUAGCCCUAAACGGUGCACGUUUGCUGUGAGAGGAAUCGACCCCUUUCGUGGCGAAGCUAACGCGUUAAACGUGCCGCCUGGGAAGUACGGCCGCAAGGUUAAAACUCAAAGAAAUUGACGGGGGCCUGCACAAGCGGUGGAGUAUGUGGCUUAAUUCGAUGCAACGCGAAGAACCUUACCUGGCCUUGACAUGUAUGUGGUAGAAGCUUGAAAGGGCGACGACCCCGCAAGGGGAGCAUACACAGGUGCUGCAUGGCUGUCGU
rnacentral:rRNA from 1 species